rfam:Ovis aries breed Texel chromosome 1, whole genome shotgun sequence.
UCACUUGUGUCUCAGCUGGUAAAGAAUCUGCCUGCAAUGCAGGAGACCUGGGUUCAAUCCCUGGAUUGGGAA